rnacentral:rRNA from 1 species
GUUCUCUGCAACUCGAGAACAUGAAGUUGGAAUCGCUAGUAAUCGCGGAUCAGCAUGCCGCGGUGAAUACGUUCCCGGGUCUUGUACACACCGCCCGUCACGCCAUGGGAGUUGGUUCUGCCUGACGGCGUUGAGGUAACCCGCAAGGGAGCCUGGCGACCACGGUAGGGUCAGCGACUGGGGCGAAGUCGUAACAAGGUAUC